CAGAACAGAAAAUUUAAUAUUUAGUUAGAAAGACUCUGAUGCAAUCAAUUUGUGGCAAAACUGAGAAGCAUUAGAAUUCUUUUUUCUCUGAAAAAAAAAGCAUUCUUUUUUUUUUCAGAGAAGAUAUUGAUACAUGUUUGUAGCUGUCAUGUUUUCAGCCUCCUGUAUUCAGAACUUCUUUCCCAAUUCUCAGGAAUUCAUAUAGAAACAUUUUUGAAAGAAAAUCUUUUUUCAGUCACUUCAGGCAAGUAAGUAGUUGCUAUAGUGACCAUGUCCUAUUAUCAAAGAAAAAAAUAUGUGAGAAUGACUAAGUGAGAAUGGACUGAUGGAGCAGGGCUUAUCUCAGGCAUUCCUAUCUUUUGUUGUCAUUACAAAAGUAACUGCCUGAUGAGGAGUGUCUCUGCCAACCAUUCCAACUCUUUCGCCCAUCAGUCACAAUCUACCACUUCAUCCUGCAUGUUGAAAAGCUUCCCAGUCUUCUACAUCCUUUAUCAAAGGCAAGUACCUGGCAAUAUUUAAUAAGAUAAAAGACAUAGACUCUAGGGUCAUCUAGAGUUGGU
rnacentral:lncRNA from 1 species